GACGAACGCUGGCGGCGUGCUUAACACAUGCAAGUCGAACGGCAAGGCCCUGCUUUUGUGGGGUGCUCGAGUGGCGAACGGGUGAGUAACACGUGAGUAACCUGACCUUGACUUUGGGAUAACUUCAGGAAACUGGGGCUAAUACCGGAUAGGAGCUCAUGCUGCAUGGUGGGGGUUGGAAAGUUUCGGCGGUUGGGGAUGGACUCGCGGCUUAUCAGCUUGUUGGUGGGGUAGUGGCUUACCAAGGCUUUGACGGGUAGCCGGCCUGAGAGGGUGACCGGCCACAUUGGGACUGCGAUACGGCCCAGACUCCUACGGGAGGCAGCAGUGGGGAAUAUUGCACAAUGGGCGGAAGCCUGAUGCAGUAACGCCGCGUGCGGGAUGACGGCCUUCGGGUUGUAAACCGCUUUCGCCUGUGACGAAGCGUGAGUGACGGUAAUGGGUAAAGAAGCACCGGCUAACUACGUG
rnacentral:rRNA from 1 species